rnacentral:lncRNA from 1 species
UAGAAGAUUUUAUAGAUGCCUGGUAUUGGAUGAAUUGUGCAUACUCAUCUGCAGAUAUCAAAAUUCCCUGAUCGGAAGAUCCAUUCAAUUUGUGUUCCGUGAUUUUAGUCAUCAUAGGAAUCACAUCAGUUACGGUGGUGGUUUUAACUCCAGCCAUAAGGACAACCAACCCAAAAACGAUAGCAACAAAAGAAACACAGAAUCAGAAAACAGUACCCGGCGUGAACAGUACCACACGAACGGUACCGAUGAACAGUACCACGUGAACAGUGCCGAUGAACAGUACCGUGAACAGUGCCAAAUAAAACACCUCCACCCAACACCCGAACAGCAAACAAAUCUCAAAUCUGACAAGGAGUCGGUGUGGUGACUCCAGCGAUGGUGAGAUCCAAAUGUUACCCUUUAUGGAUAAUCCAACUGAACGGAACCUUUAAGUCUCCAAAAAAAAAUUUUAAAACUUUACGAGAGAGAAAAAAGAAAAAAAAUCUCUAUGAGAAAGGCUUUGAUACCAUGUAGAAAGAUAAUAUUUAUUGUUGUAUAUCACAAUAGAGAUUACAACCUAUUUAUACACGAGAGACGGUAACUAAACAGGAAGGAAAAUCAAGCCUAUAAUUAUACAAUCCCUAAGAUUAAGCAACUGAUCCAUCUAUCAAUAUUUACUUCCUAUAUUAACAUAUUUACUUUCUAUAACUUAUAAC